CUUUAACCGCAUACAACAAACGUUCAAUUCAGAACUGGUACGAACAAGGAGAAUCCGACUGUUUAAUUAAAACAAAGCAUUGUGACGGUCCGUAAGGAUGUAGACACAAUGUGAUUUCUGCCCAGUGCUCUGAAUGUUAACGUGAAGGAAUUCAAACAAGCGCGGGUAAACGGCGGGAGUAACUAUGACUCUCUUAAGGUAGCCAAAUGCCUCGUCAUCUAAUUUGUGACGCGCACGAAUGGAUUAAUGAGAUUCUCACUGUCUCUACCCACCAUCUAGCGAAACCACAGCCAAGGGAACGGGCUUGGAAAAGAAAGCGGGGAAAGAAGACCCUGUUGAGCUUGACUCUAGUCUGCUUCUGUGAAAAGACUUUGGGGGUGUAGCGUAAGGAGGAGAGAAAUCGAACUUGAAACACUCCUACCUUGAACGUCUUUUUACUUCGGUUAUUAUGUGAGAAUUUCAAGUAAUUGAAAUUAAUUGAAUCAAAUUUGUUUUUUUACAAACAACUCAAGUAGCCAACAAAAGCAGGUGGGGAGUUUGACUGGGGCGGUACAUCUGCGAAAAAAUAGCGCAGGUGAACCAAGGCGGGCUCAGUGAGAACGGAAAUCUCACGUAGAGCUAAAGGGCAAAAGCCCGCUUGAUUUAGUCUUUCAGUGUGAGAACAAACAAGGAAACUUUGUCCUAUCGAUCCUUUAUGUUACGUAGAACCUACGUCUAGAGGUGCCAGAAAAGUUACCACAGGGAUAACUGGCUUGUGGCAGCCAAGCGUCCAAAGCGACGUUGCUUUUUGAUCCUUCGAUGUCGGCUCUUCUCAUCAUUCCGUUGCAGAAGGCGGAAAGUGUCAGAUUGUUCACCUGUAAAAGAGGAACGUGAGCUGGGUUUAGACCGUCGUGAGACAGGUUAGUUUUACCCUACUUUCGGAUGGAUUUCUUGACUCGACACGGGGGUAGUACGAGAGGAACUGCCCGUGGCAGCCAAUAGUUCGUGGUUUCGUUGAACAACGAGUGACCAGACGCCACGCUGUCUUUGAUAAGAACUGGAAGCCUCUAAAGUUCGAAUCAUACGAGAACAUGGAAGUCGAUAUUACUUGUUUUAUCUAGAUGCAAGAAUACUUGUAUGCUAUAUGAAUUUAUUUCUAGUUGAUUUUAAUCAUUAAUUAGAAUGAAUUGU
rnacentral:rRNA from 1 species